CUGCUUGGCCUGGGCUCUUGUUGUCCGUGUGGCUAAUUCGGGAAACCAUCAGCAAGUAGAAGAUUAGCUUGGCAGAAGAAUAGGCAUCAGCAUGGCACGCACGCCAGGAUCCCUGCUUCAGCAAGCACAAAUAUCUUGAAUGCUGCUGCUGAGUGCCAUCCACCGGAAAGGCAGGCUACCAAAAACUUGACGGUGUGUCUUCAACCACCUUACUGGUACUGUGCAACUUCUGGUUCAUCCCCCAAAGUCAAAAGGACCAUCGGAGGUAAAACUUUGGAAUCCAUUCGAGACACCCAUGCUGCCACAUCAGUUACUUUGGAUUAAACCCAGGAUCUUUGCACCAAGAUACAUUUCUAGUCUUUUUCUGGAGUCUUAUGAAGUUGACCACGCUGGGCUUGAACUUGAUCCUUCGGACUCAGCUUUCCAGAGUUCUGGGAUUAUAGGUGCUUACCACCAUGGCUAGUCCUUAUUUUUUGAAUUUUUAAAAAGCUAGUAUAUGUUCACGUGCUAGUUUUAUGAAUUUAAAAUGAAGAUGAAGAAGAGAAAAAGAAAAAUUUAGAAGACAAUUCCAUUUAUAAAAGCUAUCAAGAAAUAUAAUUAGAAAGCAAUUUACCAAGAAGGUGAAAGAUCUGAAUGCUGAAAACUAGAAAAUAUUGAUUAAAAAUAGAAAACAUAAAUAAAUGAAGACAUUUCAUGUCCCCCCAGUCUCAUUUGUUCAGAAGUGAUGCUUUUAGAAGAUGAUUAUAUCAUGGGGGUGCCGUAAUCAUCAGUGGAUUAACCCAUUGAUGAACUGUAUCAAUUCUAUGAAGAAUUCAUAACUGAGUGUGCUAUUAGAGGGUGGGGCCUGGUGGGAAGAAGCAGGUCACUGGAGGCAUGACAUGGAAAGUACAUCUUCCUCUCUGGCCGCUCUCUUUGUUCCUUGCCUUCUGGCAUGGGUUGAACAGCUUUCCUUUGCCAUGCCUUUCAAACAUGCAGUUUCUGCCUUGGAGCCAAUCAACCAUGAGCUAAAAUAAACCUCUCCUCCUUUAAGUUUUGGGUGUCAGGUAUUUUGUCCCAGAGACAGGACAGUGGCUAAGACAGAUUUUGGUAUAAGAGAAGUGGGAUCAUUGCUGUGACUAUUCCUGAGUAUGUAGUUCAGAAGCCUUUGGAACCUGUUUGCAGGAGGAGUUUGGCAGUUUGGGAGAUGCUGGCUAGAGAAGCCAUCAGAUGUUGUAAGUAGCAUAAGCAAAGAUUAAUGGGAGAUUCUGGUCUCAGCUCAAAUGACUAGAAUGUUGAUAGAAAUGCAGAAAGUAAAGGCUAGACUCUGGAGGUUUCAAGGGCUCCACUGGCAGAUGGACAAGAAACCACAUUUGUUACACUUUGAUAAAAAAUUUGCCUUCCUUUUGGCCAUGUCAUGAAACUUUGUGAGAGGCUGAGAAUGGACUAAUCUGGUGGAGGACAUUUCAAAACAGCUCAAUAUUAAGGAUGUGGGAUGGGUACUACUGGUUGUGGUUAGCCAGAUAUAUAGUGAAAAUCAGGAGCAAAAAGCUUAGGUGAACAGCAUGUAGUUUCACCAGAAAGUACCUGUAAAGUUGAGUCAUAACUGCUGAAAAGAUAACACUCAAACGAAGCCAAGAACCAUGCAUUAGGACAAUAGGAAAGACAGCUUGAAAGUGUUUUGAGAAUCAGCAAGAUCCCACCUUUCACUGGCUCAAGAGUGGAAAACUGUACAACUUUCAUUUGAGAAUAGAGGUCCUUCCUCCUUUGCUCAAGAAAGGCUGCACAGGGCAUUGGUUCCCUGGGAUUCAUUUCAUACUGCUCAGGCAUCCAGGUACUCAGAUGAUUCUGUAGUCACUAUCCAAAGGGGCCCAGCUAUUGCUUGAGCUGGUGGCAGACCUUGGUAUCAACCACAUGGUGCCAGUUUUCAGGCAAGCACAAGGCUAGUUAUGGGGUCACAGAGGCUUCCACCUAGAUUUUAGAUGUGGAAGGCUAGGCAGUCUGCCCAAGAGGGCAGUGCAUAAAGCUGUGAGAGUGAUGCUGAAAGUGCAGUGGAGACCUCAGGAAGUUAGAAUACCAAGAACAUGGAAUUUUAGUUGAGGAAAGCCAAUCAGUGAGUGAAGCCACACAAAGAAAGUGGCCAUAGUG